UGAGGAAUAUUGGUCAAUGGGGCGCAAGCCUGAACCAGCCAAGUAGCGUGCAGGAUGACGGCCCUCCGGGUUGUAAACUGCUUUUAGUUGGGAAUAAAGUGCGGGACGCGUCCCGUUUUGUAUGUACCAUCAGAAAAAGGACCGGCUAAUUCCGUGCCAGCAGCCGCGGUAAUACGGAAGGUCCGGGCGUUAUCCGGAUUUAUUGGGUUUAAAGGGAGCGCAGGCCGCCGGGCAAGCGUGUUGUGAAAUGCAGUCGCUCAACGUCUGCACUGCAGCGCGAACUGCCCAGCUUGAGUGCGCGCAACGUUGGCGGAAUUCGCCGUGUAGCGGUGAAAUGCUUAGAUAUGGCGAAGAACUCCGAUUGCGAAGGCAGCUGACGGGUGCGUAACUGACGCUCAUGCUCGAAAGUGCGGGUAUCGAAC
rnacentral:rRNA from 1 species